AAGAAAUGUAACUUGUACUUCAGUAAUCAAUCAGCAUACAAAACCGGCUAAUUAAACGGUAAUAUUACCGUUUACAAUUUUUUAUUUUUUUUUUUUUAAUAUUCGAUUUUUUUAAAAAAAUGAUUUAUUGCGUCAGCGUGACGAUUUCCACUCGCGGGCCAGCGAGUGGGCGUCACGCAUGGCGCUAGGGCGCACCACGUCGCCUCCACGUCAAAAUCAAAUUGAAAUCAAAUUGAAAUUGGAUCGGGUAUCGGGUACUAGACUUUGGGAAAUUUUCUAGCUUUGUUUAUGGUUGAAUUUGAGAUUAUCCCUAUUUUGUGCGGUGCAUUAUGUGAUAAAUUUCACACAGAAGGUAAUAUUUCUUCUAAUUUUCAUUUUCUGGCUUUAUUAAUUCGGAAUUUAUGUCGAAACUUCAAUUAUCGUGUUGCUAUAAUGUUCAUUGGAAAUGGGUUAGGAGACGAAUAAUUAGAUAGCUGAAAAUGAAUUAUUUGAUCGCUGAAUUAACAAAGCUUGUGAAUAGCAUGAGUUUGUUCCAAAUUGUCCCUCGUUAGCAUUUAAGCGUUAACGAGGUAGCGAUUUUCCCUAUAGGAUUAGGAAUGCCUCUUCUGUAUGCUGAUUGAUUACUGAAGUACAAGUUACAUUCCUUGAGUAGAAGCUCGGUUUGCUUUGCAGUUUACAGAUUCAUUGUUAUUUGAAAUGCCAAACGGCGUUUCCCACCCCCUGCGUAUGGUAGCUUCAGUUGCUGCUUCGCUUCUUGGUGGAGUUUUCGCUGUUGGUUUUCUGUCCUCUUCAGUCUCCGAACGCUACACUUCAUUUAAGAAGGUUGCUUUUGCAGAAAAAAUAUGGGCGGCCGUGUCGGAGCUGUAAAGCAGUUGGCUACUACGCGUGUAAGACGUGUAAAGGGCGUGGCACUAUAAAUUGGUCUCCACUCUAUGAUCCAAUCUUCAUAAACCCUUGUGUCUGUCCAACCUGUGAUGGAUUCAAGGUCCAACGCUGUCUUAACUGCUUGGGAUACGGCUCUGCAUAAGUUUUCAAUAUCAUGGUGCUAGUAAGAUUGGAUCUUCUCAAUCUUGUUGAAAUCGGAAUUGACUGUUUUUGCUAAUCAGAAGCCACACUUACACACACCACGAGCUAGGAAUUCGGCCACGAAGCUCAACAAAUUCACGGGUGAUAGGAUUACAUACAUAAAGAUGAUCACGAAAAGGAUUUUUCAGAAGAAGCAAAAAGAACCUUGUAUUGUUGUUGCUUGGGGGAAAUCAAACUUAAUGAUUGGAUUCGGCUUGCGCUUGGGCUUCUCUUCCAAUUUGAAAAGAUUGAAUUAAUUUGAAUUAGUAUCAGGUAUCGAGACUACUAGGGUAGUAGGGGAUUUAGAAAAAUGGGACUUGAAAAAAUAGUUACUAUCAAUGAGAUUGAGCCACGGUUUGCAAACGCAUUUGCAAGUUGCAAUGUAUUCGAGAGGGAGUCUCAACAAGAUAUCGGUGAGGAUCUCUGAUGGUAGGUAUUUAAAGAAAUCUUGCUUCAUUCUUUGAUGGAUUGAGUCUUUGAGAUCAUAUUCUAACUUUGAAC